GUUGUUAAUGGUGAUGGAUUAUCAGUGAUGUACUUCAUGGUGGCUCUUGUUUCUUCACAGAAGCCAGCUGGCUCACAGUGUGGUGAAGUUGAAAGAUGCUGUAAGGGAAAAAGGAAGUUAAUUAAUAGACACACAGAUCAGAUGUAACUAUAAAGAUUCAAACUCAGGAAUAGCACCAAGGAUUAGUUGAAAACCAACAUUGUUUUAUGCACAUGGAAAUGAAAACAGUGCCUAACUACUGUACCUACUCCAUAGACAAUGGGUCUGUGCUGUCCCUCUACUUCAAUAUCAUUCAAGUCUGUAGAGAAAAACAAACAUCUUAUCUUAGUAACUUUAAAAUAUAUACUUAUAACAGCAAUGAAAAGUAAAGUCAUAAGUUUGAAAACUGAAUAAAAGGGAAGAUGAGAAUUAUUAUUUAAAGUAAACCUCACCAGUAAUACAUGCAGUACACAAGUUUAUUCUGGUUGGCUGCUGCUGUAUGAUGUCUGAAGAAAAAGCAAAAUAAAUGUUUUAUUUCAGAA